UAGUAUUGAUAGAUUGUUGGAUACGCUAUAUAGUAGUAGAUCAAAUGAGCCACUCGAGAAAUUUCGAAAUUCGGCCCGCCAUUUCCUUUCCUAUCGAAAUAGAAGGUCACCAGUCACCAAAUCGACUGAUCGAAACCCUAAAAUCAACCUCGUUGCUCGAUGAAAUUGAGGAAGUCCUAUCUGCAUUUGAGGUUUGGUUAGAACGUCGACAGCAAUGACUUUGGGCGAUCUCAACAAAGUAUGGGAAAUCAAAACCCUAAAGCGGAAACCCAAAGAGGAAGAGGCGCGAAAGAUUUUAGACAGAAUUGCAAAUCAGGUUCAGCCCAUCAUGCGUAAGCAUAAUUGGAGGGUCAAAGUGCUCUCUGAAUUCUGGCCAAAAAAUCCGGUACUACUAGGCGUGAAUGUAGGACGUGGUAUACAUGUCAAGCUGAGACUCAGGAGGUCAGACAGAGAUGAGGAAUUUCUUCCUUACCAUGAAGUUCUGGAUACAAUGCUGCACGAGCUGUGUCACAAUGUUCAUAGCCCUCAUAAUGCUAGUUUCUACAAGCUCUGGGAUGAGAUUAGGAAGGAGUGUGAAGACUUAAUAAACAACGGGAUCAGUGGAACAGGACAAGGAUUUGAUCUUCCUGGAAGGCGUUUGGGUGGGGCCUCUCAUAAACCCCGUCUGUCAUCUCUUCGCCAGGUUGCACUUACUGCUGCAGAAAAUAGGGUGCGUCUUCAGUCCUUGCUGCCUUCAGGACCUAAUAAAAUUGGUGGUGAUAGCUCUGUUAUGUUUGCCCUGAGUCCUGUUCAAGCUGCUGCUAUGGCAGCAGAAAGAAGAUUGCAGGAUAAUAUAUGGUGUGGGUCGGAAUUCUAUGAUUUAACUGGAGAUGAUGACUGUACUGAUUUAAUGAAGGAUGGUGUUCCAGAUAAACCAUGCUGUUCUAAAAUUUCAAAAACUGCAUCUAAUGAACAUGAUAUGAAUGUAAAAUCGCUGAAAAGAAGACGAGAAUCGGAUGAAGUUUCUUUAGUCCAGUCUGGUGAGGGACAACCAAAGCCCAUUUUAAUAGACCUGACAAAUACAGCUUCAGAAAAUCGGUCAACGUGCUAUCCAGAUAAAAUGCAUCCUAGUAAAGAUUACAUUAAAUAUUCACUUGGAGAAGCUUCAGCGUCAUCAUCCCUUCCUAGCCAUGACCAAAUACAUGAAACUAGUUCUGGUACAUGGCAGUGUACAACAUGCACUUUGUUGAAUCCAGUUAUUCUACUUCUUGCUGAUGUUUUCUUUUUAGUUGAUUCCCCGUUGGCCCCAAUAUGCGGCCUAUGCACAGCAGAAAAGCCCAAAAAAGAUAAGAUGAAAAGUCAUAGGUGGUCCUGCAGAUUUUGUACUUUGGAAAAUGAUUUGAAUAUGGACAAAUGUGAUGCGUGUGGGUCCUGGAGAUAUUCUUAUGGUCCACCUAUUGCUACUUCAGCACCCAAUCUUGGAACAUGAGUGUUUAUGUGUCAUGUCCCCCUAGUCAGUCAUUCUGGUUUCAAUUAAAAUUAGGGGAUGUAAGUUGUUAACAUGCAACCAAUCUUGGAAGAACUAUGCAUCAUUAUUUAUUUCCAGCAAUGAUAUAUUGAUGCCAAAGUGAAUGCGCACUCUAUCAGAAAGGGAAAAAAAGUUCAAUAUAGCUGAGAGUUAAAGAAUAGUUGUACAUCUGAUAUUCUAAAUUGUGCCUAGUUAUGUAAAGUAGAAUAAUAUACUCCAUCUAGUUAUAUAGGCUUUAAAUCAUUGGAACAUGGUCUUGUAUGCUCAAUCUUAGCCACUGCUUGCCACCGAUGAAUGUUAAAUCAGGAUAUGAGGUUGUGCUUCCUGGUGAGUGAGUAAGGUCUUUCGACGAUGCUGCUCUUCCACAUUUCUAUCAGCUCCCUUGCCUCGACACAUCUACACCCCAAACGACAGAGCCCUUGCCUCGUUACAUUGUUGUGUUUCUUUUUCCCUUUGCAUUGAUAAAUGGACAGAUGAUAAUACUUAAAUGCAAACCUGGAGCAGGAACUUGUCUGCAGUUGUGCCAUUGAAACAAUGGAAGUUAAUUUAGCAAUUUACAUAUGUUCAGUCUCUUUAA